rnacentral:rRNA from 1 species
AUUGAACGCUGGCGGCAGGCCUAACACAUGCAAGUCGAACGAGUGGCGGACGGGUGAGUAAUGUCUGGGAAACUGCCCGAUGGAGGGGGAUAACUACUGGAAACGGUAGCUAAUACCGCAUACCAUCGGAUGUGCCCAGAUUGGAUUAGCUAGUAGGUGGGGUAAAGGCUCACCUAGGCGACGAUCCCUAGCUGGUCUGAGAGGAUGACCUGCCACACUGGAACUGUGACACGGUCCAGACUCCUAGGAGAGGCAGCAGUGGGGAAUAUUGGCAAAUGGGCGCAAGCCUGAGGCAGCCAUGCCGGGUGUAUGAAGAAGGCCUUCGGGUUGUAAAGUACUUUCAGCGAGGAGGCGUUACUCGCAGAAGAAGCACCGGCUAACUCCGUGCCAGCAGCCGCGGUAAUAC